rnacentral:lncRNA from 1 species
AUACACAAAUAAUACAGACAACAGCUCUUGAAAACGAAGUGGAACAUUGAGGGCUUACUCUCAGGUGGGCCAUUUUUAUACCUCAUCACAUUCUAGAAAAAAGGCAUCAAUUUUGUUUAUACAAAAUUACUGAUAACUGCUAUUCCAUCCCAUUCCAUUUUGGAAGCCUGAGCAGAUGCUGUUCUGAAAAAGCCAUUUUCAGAAAGGGAAAGAAAACAAAGCAUAAACUCCCCCAAAUAUUUUUUAAAGGCCAGUAACAUUUGUAUCCAUUGGGUAAACAUGAUCAAUCAAAGCUUUGCAAGCUUUAUAUGGGCUGCUUCCUUAACAAAUGUGUUUUUUGCUUCGGUCAUUCAUCAUAUCUGGAAGUUUGGGUGAUAAGCAUGAGCACUCUCUUAGGUUAAUACUGAAAAUAGCCACUUGGUGGGUUUGUAAAGGGAAAAGCCCAUUAAAGUGGCAGAACAAACAUGUAUUCUCCUGGUGACAUAAAAUAGCAUGUUGUAUCCUGUUUAUAUUGGUCUUGUCUUCAUGUGCUGAAAUUCAGCUGAACUUUAGGAGGAGGAUUUUUUUUUUAAAGAUUUUUUAUUUUUUCCUUUUUCUCCCCAAAGCCCCCCGGUACAUAGUUGUAUAUUCUUUGUUGUGGGUCCUUCUAGUUGUGGCAUGUGGGACGCUGCCUUAGCGUGGUUUGAUGAGCAGUGCCAUGUCCGCGCCCAGGAUUCAAACCAACGAAACACUGGGCCGCCUGCAGCGGAGCGCGCGAACUUAACCGCUCGGCCACGGGGCCAGCCCCUAGGAGGAGGAUUUUUUAUAAAGGGGAAAUUAGGUUGUGAAUGGAAAGAACGAAGAAAUUAAUUGACUGAGCCUGCCAGAUAAAGGAAAUCUUUGACACACCAGUGUGAAGGUCAGCUUCCAAUUGUACUGUUUUUGUAUUAAUACUAAUAUAUAUUGAAUCAAAAACAAAAACCUGGGCUUAUAGUAUAGGAAUGAUUUAAAAUUGGGGUUCUGUUAUUUAUAAUCUAGUUCAGUUUUCCCUAUGUAAAAUAGGGAUAAUAAUAUCUCUCAAUGUGCUUUUUUCAUACUAGAUAUUCAAGAAAUAAGAGCUUCAUUCUUCUUUCCUUCAUUUAAUGGGAUUUAGCAUUAUUUUGCUGUUCUACAUACACAUAGAAAUAAGCAUCCCCUAGAGACUCCUGUGAGAGAAAACAAUCCGUUUGGGAUCUUAGGAUAGUAGACAUGCUUUUCCAUUCCUUCUCCAACCUACAGAGGUCUAUGCCAUACUCAAAUCUUCAUCAGAAAUCAAGGACUCAUCCUUGAAAGUAUUUGUUCUUCAAAUCUUUAAUUGUUUUAGGAUCUAUAUUUGCUUACUUUUCUUCUCACAAAACCUAGAGAAGUACCAUGACUUUUUAAAAUUAAAAACCUUAAUUUUUUUUCUGAAUAUGGCUGCUUAAUUCUGUCUUUCAUUACUAAAUGCUACCAAUCAAUGAAUCACCUCAUUUGUCCUCCAAGGCUGUCUGCAAUGAUAUUCUCAACACAUUAGAAGAUGAAGAAGGCCUUGGAAAAAGAAAGCUGAAAAGAUGUCCUGAAAGAGGGAAGGAGGAAAAAUGGUGGGGGUGGCGGGAAGCCAUGUGACCUGAGAAGAAGGAAUACUGUCCAUAAAACUCAAAGUUUACCGUCAAGCUUGCUAGUGAAAAUGCUAAAUAUUAGUAGUAUCAAUAGCCCAUGUCCCUCUGAUAUGGCUGGUAAUUCCUUUGGUUAGAACACAAUGUUAGGAAUUCCAGAAUGGGGAUUACACCUUUUCAGAGUCCUAGUGGUUUGUUUUGAUAACGUGUCACAGGGUACUGGGGUAAGAGGUGGG